GCAAGUCGAACGAGGUGCCUUUGUAGCAAUACGAAGGUAUCCUAGUGGCGAACGGGUGAGUAACGCGUUGGUGACCUACCCCAAAGUGUGGGAUAACAGAUCGAAAGAUCUGCUAAUACCGCAUGUGGUCUUCGGAUUUAGAAACUGAUGACUAAAGGAGCAAUUCGCUUUGGGAGGGACCUGCGUCCCAUCAGCUAGUUGGUGAGGUAAUGGCUCACCAAGGCUACGACGGGUAGGGGACCUGAGAGGGUGGCCCCCCACAAUGGAACUGAAACACGGUCCAUACACCUACGGGUGGCAGCAGUAGGGAAUAUUGCACAAUGGGCGAAAGCCUGAUGCAGCAACGCCGCGUGUGCGAUGAAGGCCUUCGGGUCGUAAAGCACUUUUCUGAGGGAUGAGCAAGGACAGUACCUCAGGAAUAAGUCUCGGCUAACUACGUGCCAGCAGCCGCGGUAAAACGUAGGAGGCAAGCGUUAUCCGGAUUCACUGGGCGUAAAGCGCGUGCAGGCGGUUCGGUAAGUUGGGCGUGAAAUCUCCUGGCUUAACUAGGAGAGGUCGUUCAAUACUACCGGACUUGAGAGUGGUAGAGGAAGAUGGAAUUCCCGGUGUAGUGGUGAAAUGCGUAGAUAUCGGGAGGAACACCAGUGGCGAAAGCGAUCUUCUGGACCAUUUCUGACGCUCAGACGCGAAAGCUAGGGUAGUAAACGGGAUUAGAGACCCCGGUAAUCCUAGCCGUAAACGAUGCAAACUUGGCGUCGGUGGCUUAAACUCCAUCGGUGCCGCAGCUAACGCGAUAAGUUUACCGCC
rnacentral:rRNA from 1 species